UGGGGAAUAUUGCACAAUGGACGAAAGUCUGAUGCAGCAACGCCGCGUGGAGGAUGACACAUUUCGGUGCGUAAACUCCUUUUAUAUAGGAAGAUAAUGACGGUACUAUAUGAAUAAGCACCGGCUAACUCCGUGCCAGCAGCCGCGGUAAUACGGAGGGUGCAAGCGUUACUCGGAAUCACUGGGCGUAAAGAGCGUGUAGGCGGGUAUAUAAGUCAGACGUGAAAUCCAAUAGCUUAACGAUUGAACUGCGUUUGAAACUGUAUACCUAGAAUGUGGGAGAGGUAGAUGGAAUUUCUGGUGUAGGGGUAAAAUCCGUAGAGAUCAGAAGGAAUACCGAUUGCGAAGGCGAUCUACUGGAACAUUAUUGACGCUGAGACGCGAAAGCGUGGGGAGCAAACA
rnacentral:rRNA from 1 species